CAAUAGCGUAUAUUAAAGUUGUUGCAGUUAAAAAGCUCGUAGUUGGAUUUCUGGUGGGAGCGAUCGGUCUGGCGCUUAGCGCGAGUACUUGCAUCGUCUCCGGCCAUCCUUGGGGAGAGUCUGUCUGGCAUUAGGUUGUCGGGCAGAGGAUCCUCAUCGUUUACUGUGAAAAAAUUAGAGUGUUCAAAGCAGGCUUAUGCCGUUGAAUAUAUUAGCAUGGAAUAAUAAGAUAGGACUUUGGUACUAUUUUGUUGGUUUGCGCACCAAAGUAAUGAUUAAUAGGGACAGUUGGGGGUAUUCGUAUUCCGUUGUCAGAGGUGAAAUUCUUGGAUUUACGGAAGACGAACUACUGCGAAAGCAUUGACCAAGGAUGUUUUCAUGAA
rnacentral:rRNA from 1 species